AUGGCCCGGAGGCGCGGGCCUCUCCCAGCCGUGUCGGACCCUCUGGCAGCCUUGAGCAGAGGGCAGCUGAGGCUCCGACAGUGCUCGCAGACUCAGCUGGUCAGCGGGAGAGCCGUGCGCACCGGCCAGCGCUCACGUCUGAGGGGCGUGUGCGGUCCACAUGCUCAGAGCCCCAAGGAGCGCGUUCAGAAACGGCUCAGCUGCACUCGGGUGGCCACUGCCAACCCCGGGUGCACCACGUACAAGCUGCGUGGCCUUGGGGCAGUCACUGACUCUCUGUGUGUAAAGGAAAGGCGGGCGGCGUCCUGCCCUCCUGGGGCCGUGUCGGGCGUCCGGUCAGCGCGAAGGCUGCCAUCUCACAGCACACCGUGUGUUUCAGUGACUGAAACCGACCCCACCCUCUUCCCACUGAGCCUUGGGAGCAACAACCCAGAGGGGCACGUGGUCAUCGCCUGCCUGGUCCAGGGCUUCUUCCCGUCGGAGCCACUGAAGGUGACCUGGAGCGAGAGCGGCAAGGACGUGUCCGUCAGAAACUUCCCCCCUGCUCCGGCCGGGGGCCUGUACACCAUGACCAGCCAGCUGACCGUGCCGGCCAGCCAGUGCGCAGGCACCAAGUCUGUGAAAUGCCAAGUGCAGCACCUCUCCAAACCCAGCAAAGCCGUGGCCGUGCCCUGCCAAGUUCCAGUUAUGCCGUGUCCGUGCAAGCUCAGGCUGUCCCUGCACCCACCGGCCCUUGAGGACUUGCUCCUGGGCUCCAAUGCCAGCCUCACGUGUACGCUGAGUGGCCUGAGAGACCCCAACGGCGCCACCUUCACCUGGAAACCGACAGGUGGGAAGAACGCCAUCCAGGAGCUGCCCAAGCCUGACCUCUGCGGCUGCUUCAGCGUGUCCAGCGUCCUGCCGGGCUGCACCGAUCCCUGGAAAAAUGGACAGUCCUUCUCCUGCACCGCCACCCACCCCGAGUCCAAGGGCCAGCUAACCGCCACCAUCAAGAAAAUCCCAGAAAACAUGUUCCGGCCACAGGUCCACCUGCUGCCGCCGCCGUCGGAGGAGCUGGCCCUCAACGAGCUGGUGACGCUGACGUGCCUGGUGCGGGGUUUCAGCCCCAAGGACGUGCUGCUGCGGUGGCUGCAGGGGAACCAGGAGCUGCCCCGCGAGAAGUACCUGACCUGGAGCCCCCUGCCCGAGCCCAACCAGAGUGUCCCCACCUUCGCCGUGACCAGCGUGCUGCGCGUGGACGCCGAGGUCUGGAAGCAGGGGGAGUCCUUCUCCUGCAUGGUGGGCCACGAGGCCCUGCCCCUGGGCUUCACCCAGAAGACCAUCGACCGCCUGGCGGGUAAACCCACCCACGUGAACGUGUCCGUGGUCAUGUCGGAGGUGGACGGCGUCUGCUACUGAGCCGUGCCCCCGCCCCACCUGCCCCUCGAAUAAACUCCGUGCUCGCCUG